rnacentral:rRNA from 1 species
UACAGAGGGUGCAAGCGUUGUUCGGAAUUAUUGGGCGUAAAGCGCGUGUAGGCGGCUUUGCAAGUCGGGUGUGAAAGCCCUCAGCUUAACUGAGGAAGUGCGCCCGAAACUGCAUGGCUUGAGUACCGGAGAGGAUGGUGGAAUUCCCCAAGUAGAGGUGAAAUUCGUAGAUAUGGGGGAGGAACACCGGUGGCGAAGGCGACCAUCUGGACGGAUACUGACGCUGAGACGCGAAAGCGUGGGUAGCAAACAGG